AUGUCGGCAGUGUAAAGGUUGUAGAGUACUGGGCCAAGUACGCUUCCUUGCGGCACUCCAGCGGUUAUGUGCUUUAGGCUUGAGGUGAUGUUGUUGCAGCAGACGACUUUGAAGCUUCUGUCUGAGAGAUAGCUGAGAAGACCCUGAUGCCAGACUCUAUCAAAGGCCUCCUGGAUAUCCAUGUACACAGCACUGCAAUGCCGCUGCGCUUCGUAGGAUCUGAGAUGAAUUGCGUGACUCGUCCGAUUUGCUGUUCCGCUGAGUGCUGACUUCUGAAGCCAAAUUGAUGGUUUGGAAUAGCCAUGGCAAAGCUUUCUUCUUCAAAAAGUCGUUUGAGGAUGAGGCGUUCAAGGAUUUUGGAGAAGCCUGUAAGCAGGCUGAUGGGACUUUGGGAAGUGGCCGAACUGCAGAGCCGAGUUGCAUAUCAACAGCAGAUACUCGAUGGCGGAUGUUGGCAGAGAUUUAAUGACGCGAUUGUCGAUACUGUCGAAACCGGGUGCCUUUUUCGUCUUGAGCUUCUUAAUUUCCGAUUUGAGUUCCUGGAUGGUCACAGGUCUGAUUAUUUGAGCAGCUUCAUCUGGACCGU